rnacentral:lncRNA from 1 species
CCCAGCCUCUAUAUUUGAUAUAAAGUAUACCGAUUUCUGGGAGUAAUAAGAGAAUUGCUAGGAAAUUGAGGGUUUCCCUUGUCUUCUGGAACUGAGGACGGAUCCCACCAUGGCCCCUUCCCCUGCCAAUGGGCACAAGCAGGAAGCCCUGAGCAGCCCAGGCAUCCAUUUUCUGCAUGUGGCCACAGAUCCUCAUGGCCAAUCUGCUAUGGAGAGGAAGAACCUGCUUGUUUGCUCCAGGGAUGACUCAAACAGUGAGAAGCAGCAGGUCCUGAGGACUGCUGGGCUCAGAGGCACUGCACCCCACUCAGGGUGAAGGGCACCUGUUUGUGGCUCCUGCUCACGUGAGGCUUGUCUGCCGGGGGUGACCCCAACUCCUGAUGGAAAACUCUUCUGAUCUCCAGUCUGAGAGCUGGGGGGUCAGGAACAUCCAGAAGGGGCCUAUUCUGCACAUGACUUGAUAUCAAAAAGCUAAGAAGUUUAAUGACUUUUUGGGGGUUGAGUCAAUGUCCCUGGAGUAAAAGCUGCAAAACUGGUGCCUGAAGCUAUCCUGGGGCUGCAGUCAGCCCAGACCCCUGGAGCCCUGGGGCCUCCCCACUGAGGUCCAGUCCAGAACUCCACCUUCGCCUCAGCUCCUCCGCCUCUUCCUUGGCUCUGGCUAAAAAUGCCCUGUCCAGAGCCUCACCCAGCCCAGCAGCACAAGACUGCCCUCUCCUUCACCCCUGCUCUGGCCCCUCACCUCUUCCCCAGGGAGGCAGGCAAGCCCAGUGGCUCCACCAUCUGCCAGCAAUGGGACGUGACGGGGGACAUGCUAACCUCCUUGCGCUUCAGUUUCCCCAUCUUGAAGACGAGGACCACAACAGUGCCUCCUCACGGGGUGGAUCCGGAGGUUCCUCAACGUGGUUCAUGCACAGCGGUGGGCAGGUGCCGGGCUCCCAGAUCAUGCUCAGCACAUGGCAGACCCCAGACUCCACACCUGCCCCUUCUCCCCACGGGCCUCACGACCUGCCUUCGCCCCUUCACAGCCUGUUGUGGACAUCUCUCCAUGUCCACAGGCAUGCCUCAGGCCCAGCAUUGGGUAUACUGCAGGCCCUGGGGACGGGCUAUUUCUCCCUCUAGUCCAAAGUCCCUCAGUGUGUGGAUCCCAGCGUCUGUAGGGUGGACUGAGGGAAGGCUAUGGGACAGGGAGCUGGGAGGGCCCCUCCACUGCUAGGUGGAGGUCUCCUGUUCUCCCAAUUUGGUGGCCCAUUUUUCCCAUCUGUAAAACGGGCUCACUGAUCCCUAAGCCUGCUCCUUGGGCGGGAACCUUACCGACCAGCAGAGGCUAGAACCAGCCCUCAGGACUCAUCCUGAAAUGUAAGCAAAUGACUGACUGUCCCCACCAGAGCCCACACAUACGGCUGGAGCCCUGCCUGGAAGAGGCUGGAGCUGUGCUGGUACCUGGCUGGAUCCUGGCUGCAUCCAGCAGUUCCUGGACUCUCCGGAGGAUCUCGUGCUGCAGGCCAGCUUCUGAGACGCCCACCUGUGACAGUUCAAGGAAGUGCAGACUGUGGCCUGGGCGGGAGCCCGCUAAAUGGUGUGAGCCACGUGGCACAGGCCCAGGCUCACAGGACCGUUGACACCUCCUGCUGGAAAUGUGGAAGCCUUCCGGGGCCUGGCAGGGCCCAUGGUCAGGAUGAGGCAGUGCAGCACCAUAGCUGUGAGGGCAACCUCCCCAGGCCUCAGCCCAACAAUCAGUGUGGCAGGGGUUGGGGGGAAACUGAGGCCCAAAGGGAAACCAGCACUAGCAACAGCUAUGGUUUAGCAACUGCUUCCCGGUGCCAGGCUUCACCUGCACACCUCAGCCACUUCCCCACCAGGUGGGGGAGGAGAGAAGCCUUGGAGGCCAAGCCACUAAGCAGCAGCAGCACAUGAGCCCCACAGUCCCUCAGCCUCCAGAGCCUGAGCGGCACGGCCUUGUGACCCUCAGUGCCAUCCAGUCCUCUUGGACCCUGGUGUCUGCAUCUGUCCAGGGAGGGGCAAGACAGUCUCAUGGCAAAGAACACGAACUCUGGGGCCACGCUGCUUGGGGUGGAGACCUCACUCUGCUGUGUGACCUUGGGCCAAGUUAUUGCCUUACUGGGUCUCAACUGAAAGAUGAUGAUAAUGAUAUGUACCCCGCUGGGCUGUCGGGAGAAUUCAGUGAGUUCGAAUACAAGAAGUGCUUAAAAUGGUGCCCCGCACGUGCAGGUGCUACAAAGUUAGCUGGCACAGUGAUGAGUAUUCUGUUUUGAAGAAUAAGUGGAUUAAUGUGCUGUAAAGAGCUCAGCUUGUGCCCAGAAAGGAACACGGGCUCAGGCAGUGCUGUGGCCACGACAGUUUGUGACACCAUGAGGCAGGGCAGAGGCUGGAUCGGAUAAUCCCCAAGGGCCUGUCUUGUCCCUCCAGUCUGAAGAUCCAGUCUGAUCAGGUCAGCAGGACCCACCUCCCCAGGAUUUCCCAGUGAGACAGUGUGCAGGGCACACACAGGCGGCUGGGGCAGAUGGGCAGGUGUUCUGGCCAUCUGGAAGCAAGGUGGCCCUGGGCCAUUAGGUAAGGACAGGCCUCAACGAGGACUACACAAGGAGCAGAUCAACCCCCGGCUGGUCAGGACAGCGGCCUUGCGCGCCCCUCCCCUCCCUGCAGACGGCUGCUGCCCACCUUGGCCAGGUCCCCGGGGCUCAUUUGGCUCAGCAGGUCCAGUGAGAGGCGGUGGUGCGCGAAGAUGGGCAGGUAGUGCUCAGCCGACAGCUCCUCCAGGAGGGCCACCAGCUGGCGCUCCAUCCCCUCUUCCUGCAAGACAGAAACGUGUACCAUGAGCGGGAAGGAAGAAAAGAACCCACUGUUUACAACAGGAAGUGAAGGGUUUGAAUAUAUAUAACAUAAUACAUAGAAUGUACUCGGGAUUUUUCCUACAAAAACUCAUAUGUAGGCACACAGAGAUAGAUAGGCCCAGGGGUUCACUGCCGCUCUGUCUGCAAACCUGAAAAUAGUAAGCAACUUGAACAUCCACCAAGAGGGGGCUGUUUCAACUGCCUCUCUGUCCCCGCAGGUGCUGGACAGACAGUGGCUCCCGGCACAGGCUUUGCUCUACUGUGGGCUCAGUGGUCUCUGCCCUGCACAGCAGUGACCAGUGCCUUGUCGUCCCCCUCACCAGAAUGAACACUCCCUUACUCUCACUUCUGUCUCCACUGGGGCUUGGCACAGGAGCUGGCACGCUAGAGUCACCAGAAAAGUAACGAGGCAGAGCAUGGCGGAGGCACCACAGGCGCCUCUGGGAGACGGUCCCCAGGGCUCCCUGGCCGGGGCAGGCACCAGCAGUCCUUACUUGCAGCUUCAAGGACAAGGGCUUCUGGUUCAAAAGCCGUUGAUACUGAAUCAGCCAGUAAUUUUCCUGCCUGGUUUCACUUUUGGCUUCUAACUCCGUCUGCCAGGAAUGAAGCAGGCAAUGUUAGUCACAAAAUGGUAAUAAAACCUGUAAUAACAAUGAUGGUUGCCAGGCGCGGUGGCUCAUGAUUCUUUUAUUCUGCCAUUCGAUAACUCUUUGUUGAGUACUGUUCUAGGUGCUGGGAAUACAGCAGUGAACAAACAAUGCUGAUAGCCACGGUGACAACAGGCGUAGCUGACAUGUUCACAGUACCAUGUGCCAGGCCAUGCUGUGCACCUAAAGAUGCCAUCAUUAAUUCUCACAACUCCGGGAAGGAGAUUCUACCUCCCAGGUGAGGGAGCUGAGGUUCAGGGUGAUGAGUAACCUGCCCAGGGUGGGGCCAGGAAUCAGACCCAGGCCUGUCUUGCUCCAGAGCCCGUGCUCAGAACAACGGAGCUGCUCAGUGAGGGCUGGCAUAACAUGGGGAGUGGGAUCAGCACAGGCGUUUCCCAAUCCCUGCUGGGCCUGACUGCCCUUUGGGGGCCCCUCCUGGACCUGGCCACGCCCACUGCUCCCUUCCGUCGUUGGCCCUCCCGGGCUGCAGCCCCUCUCUUCCAGCACCCAGGAGCCCGGAUGGGCUGUGUUCUGCUGGGGCGGUGCUUCCUCCUUUGGUGGUGACCCCCAAGGCCUACAAGGGCAGGGGCACCAGCCAUAGUACCUGGCUGCUACGGCACAGCGCCAAGGCACCAUCUGCAAAGUAACCUGAUGCGUAGGAGAUGGCAGUAGGGCACCGUGAGGAACAGGCAGCUUCCUCUGAUGGGCACAGGCACCACUUGGCUUGUUCAGGGCUCCAGAAGCAGCUGGUCUCUCUCUUCUAAACCUGCACAGGGCCCGGCCUAGGACGCAGCUCAGAGGGCGUCUGGUGCAUUCACGGGGACACAGGAACGACUCGGUCUUUUCCACCCCAGAUGGUGAGCCUGGCCUCUGUCCUCAUUGCUUGGGUACCCUCUGGGUCUAGAGGAGACACUCUCAAGGGGGCCUCUGCCACGCUGAAAAUGUGCCAGUGUCAAACCCAUCAGGAGACAGGGGACAGCUGGGCCACUCCUGCCAAAAGCUUAUCAAACGGCCUGCCCUGGACAUAGUGAGUCCUGUCUGGAGUGAAUACUCAUGGCUGUUCCCGAAUACUCAACUACAAAGGCAUUCGAAGAGCAUUGCCUAGAAAAGUUUAAAAACCAGAAGUAAUCCACAUACUCAACAAUAGGGGCCAAGCACAGCCUUGAGAAAGGACGUCAAGGAAUAGUUUAAUGACUUGAAAAGAAUGUGCGGAAACAGGCUGCUCGAAAAGGGUAUGCAGCAUGUCACGUUUAAAAGGCGCAUACACGAACAGCUAUAAAGAUGCAUCACAAUGUUUGGAAAAUAUGCAUCAAAAC